rnacentral:rRNA from 1 species
UACGUAGGGUCCGAGCGUUGUCCGGAAUUACUGGGCGUAAAGAGCUCGUAGGUGGUUUGUCGCGUUGUUCGUGAAAACUCACAACUCAACUGUGGGCGUGCGGGCGAUACGGGCAGACUGGAGUACUGCAGGGGAGACUGGAAUUCCUGGUGUAGCGGUGGAAUGCGCAGAUAUCAGGAGGAACACCGGUGGCGAAGGCGGGUCUCUGGGCAGUAACUGACGCUGAGGAGCGAAAGCGUGGGGAGCGAACAGG